rnacentral:rRNA from 1 species
UACGUAGGGUGCGAGCGUUAAUCGGAAUUACUGGGCGUAAAGCGUGCGCAGGCGGUUAUUUAAGUCAGGUGUGAAAGCCCUGGGCUUAACCUAGGAAUUGCGCUUGAGACUGGAUAGCUUGGAGUGCGGCAGAGGGAGGUGGAAUUCCACGUGUAGCAGUGAAAUGACGUAGAGAUGUGGAGGAACACCGAUGGCGAAGGCAGCCUCCUGGGCCAGCACUGACGCUCGAUGCACGAAAGCCGUAGGGGAGCAAACAGGA